CCUGCUAAAUGGAACAAACAAUCAGAUCAUUCUCCACGGACGAUAACGGCAAAGUCUGAGGGAAUACAAUCAGACGAAGUCAUCACACUACCUGGCACCUAACCAGCAUCAAAAUUGGCAAGCCAAUCUGCAACCUAAUCAUGAAUUCCCUUCCUAUGGGUAUAAUAAUUCUCACUUGCAAUGCACCUUGCAACACCUGUCACCAGCCAGCCACCCAGCAAUUAACAGUUAAUGAGUCUCCUUCAUCUAAGGUGGUCUUGGUCUGUCAAAAUGAUUUUCCAUUGCAAAUUGCUCAUGGUUCUGCUGAUGGAACAGUAAUUUCAUGAAAGGUUAUUGCUUAUAGUCCCCCAGAUUAGAUCACCUAUACUCUAUGAUCACUUAUUCAGAAACCAGAUCCUGCUUUGUCAUUUUCCUCUUUUAAGAUUGAGGUAUUAAUUGAGGACUGUUGGCAAUGCAAUUUCCCAUGCAUUUACGAAACAAGGUUGAGCCAUGAGAGAGGAUUUAUUGCUUCGCCUCCUAGACCGGCUGCUCUUCUUCUUCUUCUUGUUUUUUUGAUAGGAAAAGAAUAAACAAAGAGAAUGACGCUCAAUCUGUGGUCAUGGUACCUCUCAUUUGCUUUACCUUGUAGACUAGUUCUUCCUUCUUCUUUUUUUUUCU
rnacentral:lncRNA from 1 species